rnacentral:rRNA from 1 species
UUAAGUGACUAAGCGUACACGGUGGAUGCCUGGGCAGUCAGAGGCGAUGAAGGACGUACUAACUUGCGAUAAGCGCAGAUAAGGCAGUAAGAGCCGUUUGAGUCUGCGAUUUCCGAAUGGGGAAACCCAACUGCAUAAGCAGUUACUGUUAACUGAAUCCAUAGGUUAACAGAGCAAACCGGGGGAACUGAAACAUCUAAGUACCCCGAGGAGAAGAAAUCAACCGAGAUUCCGGUAGUAGCGGCGAGCGAACCUGGAUUAGCCCUUAAGCACUCGUUGAAGUAGGUGAACAAGCUGGAAAGCUUGGCGAUACAGGGUGAUAGCCCCGUAACCGACGCUUCAUCGAGCGUGAAAUCGAGUAGGGCGGGACACGUGAUAUCCUGUCUGAAUAUGGGGGGACCAUCCUCCAAGGCUAAAUACUCCUGACUGACCGAUAGUGAACCAGUACCGUGAGGGAAAGGCGAAAAGAACCCCUGUGAGGGGAGUGAAAUAGAACCUGAAACCGUGUACGUACAAGCAGUAGGAGCACCUUCGUGGUGUGACUGCGUACCUUUUGUAUAAUGGGUCAGCGACUUAUAUUCAGUGGCAAGGUUAACCGUAUAGGGGAGCCGUAGCGAAAGCGAGUCUUAACUGGGCGUUCAGUCUCUGGAUAUAGACCCGAAACCGGGUGAUCUAGCCAUGGGCAGGUUGAAGGUUGAGUAACAUCAACUGGAGGACCGAACCGACUAAUGUUGAAAAAUUAGCGGAUGACUUGUGGCUAGGGGUGAAAGGCCAAUCAAACUCGGAGAUAGCUGGUUCUCCCCGAAAGCUAUUUAGGUAGCGCCUCGGACGAAUACUACUGGGGGUAGAGCACUGUUAAGGCUAGGGGGUCAUCCCGACUUACCAACCCUUUGCAAACUCCGAAUACCAGUAAGUACUAUCCGGGAGACACACGGCGGGUGCUAACGUCCGUCGUGGAGAGGGAAACAACCCAGACCGCCAGCUAAGGUCCCAAAGUAUUGCUAAGUGGGAAACGAUGUGGGAAGGCUCAGACAGCUAGGAUGUUGGCUUAGAAGCAGCCAUCAUUUAAAGAAAGCGUAAUAGCUCACUAGUCGAGUCGGCCUGCGCGGAAGAUGUAACGGGGCUAAGCAAUACACCGAAGCUGCGGCAAUAUCUUUUAGAUAUUGGGUAGGGGAGCGUUCUGUAAGCCGUUGAAGGUGGAUCGUAAGGUCUGCUGGAGGUAUCAGAAGUGCGAAUGCUGACAUGAGUAACGACAAGGGGGGUGAAAAACCUCCCCGCCGGAAGACCAAGGGUUCCUGUCCAACGUUAAUCGGGGCAGGGUGAGUCGACCCCUAAGGCGAGGCUGAAAAGCGUAGUCGAUGGGAAACGGGUUAAUAUUCCCGUACUUCUUACAAUUGCGAUGGGGGGACGGAGAAGGCUAGGUGGGCCAGGCGACGGUUGUCCUGGUUCAAGUGCGUAGGCUUAAGAGUUAGGUAAAUCCGGCUCUUUCUAAGGCUGAGACACGACGUCGAGCUACUACGGUAGUGAAGUCAUUGAUGCCAUGCUUCCAGGAAAAGCCUCUAAGCUUCAGAUUGUAAGGAAUCGUACCCCAAACCGACACAGGUGGUCGGGUAGAGAAUACCAAGGCGCUUGAGAGAACUCGGGUGAAGGAACUAGGCAAAAUGGUACCGUAACUUCGGGAGAAGGUACGCUCUUGAUGGUGAAGUCCCUCGCGGAUGGAGCUGACGAGAGUCGCAGAUACCAGGUGGCUGCAACUGUUUAUUAAAAACACAGCACUGUGCAAAAUCGCAAGAUGACGUAUACGGUGUGACGCCUGCCCGGUGCCGGAAGGUUAAUUGAUGGGGUUAGCGCAAGCGAAGCUCUUGAUCGAAGCCCCGGUAAACGGCGGCCGUAACUAUACGGUCCUAAGGUAGCGAAAUUCCUUGUCGGGAAGUUCCGACCUGCACGGAAUGGCGUAAUGAUGGCCACGCUGUCUCCACCCGAGACUCAGUGAAAUUGAAAUCGCUGUGAAGAUGCAGUGUACCCGCGGCUAGACGGAAAGACCCCGUGAACCUUUACUACAGCUUGGCACUGAACAUUGAACCUACAUGUGUAGGAUAGGUGGGAGGCUAUGAAGACGUGACGCUAGUUGCGUUGGAGCCGUCCUUGAAAUACCACCCUUGUAUGUUUGAUGUUCUAACUUAGACCCGUUUAUCCGGGUUGAGGACAGUGCCUGGUGGGGUAGUUUGACUGGGGCGGUCUCCUCCCAAAGAGUAACGGAGGAGCACGAAGGUGGGCUAAUCACGGUUGGACAUCGUGAGGUUAGUGCAAUGGCAUAAAGCCCGCUUAACUGCGAGAAUGACGGUUCGAGCAGGUGCGAAAGCAGGUCAUAGUGAUCCGGUGGUUCUGUAUGGAAGGGCCAUCGCUCAACGGAUAAAAGGUACUCCGGGGAUAACAGGCUGAUACCGCCCAAGAGUUCAUAUCGACGGCGGUGUUUGGCACCUCGAUGUCGGCUCAUCACAUCCUGGGGCUGAAGUCGGUCCCAAGGGUAUGGCUGUUCGCCAUUUAAAGUGGUACGCGAGCUGGGGUUUAGAACGUCGUGAGACAGUUCGGUCCCUAUCUGCCGUGGGCGUUGGAAGAUUGAAGGGGGCUGCUCCUAGUACGAGAGGACCGGAGUGGACGAACCUCUGGUGUUCGGGUUGUGUCGCCAGACGCAUUGCCCGGUAGCUAAGUUCGGAAUCGAUAACCGCUGAAAGCAUCUAAGCGGGAAGCGAGCCCUGAGAUGAGUCUUCCCUGACAGUUUAACUGUCCUAAAGGGUUGUUCGAGACUAGAACGUUGAUAGGCAGGGGUGUGUAAGCGUUGUGAGGCGUUGAGCUAACCUGUACUAAUUGCCCGUGAGGCUUAACCAU